rnacentral:tRNA from 1 species
UAACUAUUAAUUUAAAUAAAAUUUUAAUUUUGUAAAUUAAAAAUAUAAUAUAUAUAUGUUAUAUAGUUAA